UUCUACACUGAAAAACACAGAGGAGAAGGAAGGAAAGUAAAUUCAAAUCAGCACUUAUUGAUUUAGAAUCACCAGAUAUCUAACUGACAUGGAAGAGCAUAGGCUUUGAGAUCAAGUUCCAGAUGCUUAGGUACCUGCUGACCUUGGGAAAACUGUGCCACCCCUUUCAACCACUAGUUCCUCACUGGUUGAAUUGGAACCUGUAAUGCCUUCCUUUUGAGGAUGAGACGUGUAAUAUGACAGCCUGAUAGUAGGUGUUCAGUAAAUAUUGCUACAAUCUCUCUCACAUUUAUUUAAUGCCCCUAAUUGCUAAUUAUUUUUACACAUUUUGCAUGAAAGCUGCCUCAUUAUAAAAUAUUUAAAUAGCACAGGGGAAGAUACAAAAGAACUAACCACUCAGUAUCCUCAUCAGUAAAAUGGACACAAUAAUAGCAACUAUUCCAAAGGCUUUCUUUGCAAUUAAUAUGUAUAUUAACCAAGUGAAAGAAUACAAAGGAAGUGUUUAGGGCAGUACCUGGCAUGUAGUAAGGCUUCCAUAUUUGGUAGCUUCUAUGAGUCACCAUUGCGACUAUUGCCACUAUUACAUUAUGUCUUGCUCUUUGCCUUGCUUCUCAACUUAACAAUGUGUCUCAGAGAGCUUUCCAUAUACAUUCACCAUGUAAUAUUCCUCAAUGUAGACAUAUUUAAAUACUUCACUGGGCAUUUCCUAAUCUUCAUUUUUUUUCUUUGCUAUUCUAUUUGUAUGUUUUGGAGUUGUUAAUGUACAGACUCCAUUGUAUUAUUUGUACACAGGUCUGUGAGCUAAACAUGAUGCAUUUGGGGACCAGGGUUCCCAGAGGCUGAGAGAGUCAGAUGCCUGGGAGUACAGAAGUUCUGGCUUGCUCAUAGUGGGUACUCACACAUCCCGUGUCCUUGAGGGCUUGAGAAUCAGGCCUGCAGGUGUGUUAGGGUUUGUCAGCUUGACUCAUAACUCGGGCUCAGUUUUCCCAGAAGCUGGAGAGGCAGGCCAGAAAGAAUGAAUCCUGCAGAUGUCCCUGAAGUCUGUGCAGGGGCUCCCUCUGCCCUUAAUUGUCCACUUUCCUCCCUCGGAGAUUUACUUAUGGAGGAGUUUCCAGUGCCGAGAUCCUUAUAAGAAGGCUCUUAAGCUUUUAGCUGUAUUUUUACCUGGUUUCAUUCUAGAGGCCUCAGAUGGCCCAAGAUGAGUAACCAGUGUAGGAGUGUAGAAAGGGGAGGAAAUGCAGAGUCAUGGAAACAGUACAUUCUCCUUGCUUAGCAUGAAGGGAAAUGAAAUGUUUCAUAUUGAAGACGAAAGACCCCACAUUGGUUUGCAAUGUGACAUGACUGUCCAAAGCCUUUCUAACCAGCAAGGGAUGAAAAAGAGCUGUCAUUAAAAGGAUACUUGGUCCUGGUCUACUAUCCCAUAUCACCUCUUAGAGACCCAGGAUCAGACUAAGCGCUGCUGGAAAGGCAAAUCAUGGUUGUCAUGCAUGACUAAUGAAGUCCCCAAAUGGGCAUUCUGAGAUGGAAGAAGCUAAAGAGUCAGAAGAGCCAGAUGGCAUGUUUUGUAGCCAGACGGAUGGGGUGUCAGUGCUUAGGGAGUAUUGGGAAGGUGUUUCUGAUUAUUUCAUUUCUGUCGUUUUGAUAAGCUUCGCCCAGAUUUUCUUUUCCUUGGUGUCAUCCUUUCUUUUUCCAUUUCUCCCUGGUGCCCUCUAUAAAGAUAUACUCCUGGAUGGAUGACCUACAUAAUGGCUGUAUUUUCCAAAGCAAAGCUCCACAACUGAUUAGCUGUGAGAUCUUGGGGAAGUCAUUUCUUAUUUUUAAGCAGUAGUGUCUUCAUAUGCAAAAUAAACAUGAUAUCUACUCAUAAGAUUUCAGUGAAAUUUAAGAAGCUCAGCUCAGAGCAAGGCAUCAAGUUUUCAGUCAGUCAUUCAACAAAUAUUUAUUGAGUAUCACCCAUGUGCCAGGCCCUAUGCUAGGUGCUAGGGAAGGAAUGGUAGAUAAACAUUAUUUCUGGCCUCCUCGUGCUGGUAGUCCAGUGGCUCUUUGUCCUCAGUAAAUGCUAGCCAACAUCAAGAGCUAUUAGGGGCAUUUUAGUCACAGCCCAGGAUUCGCUAGGUCAGUGAGCAGAGGCAUCCACAGACUCAAACAGUGAGGCUUUCCUUCCAGGAUGCAGUAUCAGCAUUGUACUCCUCUUUGUCUCUGGGCCUGGGGUGAAUUUUUGUCUGCACUACCUGCACCUCACUCUCCCUUGUGGAAACUUAAAGAGAUGGAUUUGGGGGCUGGGGAAGAGUUGUUCAGCAACCUCUGCACUGCUUCAAGGAAAGCUGGUAAAGCAGUAUGUUGCAAACUCUGAUUCUUACCCCCUCUAGCACUAGUUCACAGGUAGGGAACAUCCACAUUCACAGUUCUCCUACCUCCUGAAAUAUCCCUAUCCUUCCCCCAAAGUCACAAAAAUGACCUUAAUCUUAGAGCACCAGAUAGAGCCCAAGAAAGUGGGUACUCCCUGCUCGUUCCAGGAAUUUCUUGUGCUUUCUGGUAUAGGAUAUUUCACCCAUCUAUCCAGUCAGCCAGACAGCCAACCAUCCAUGUAUCCAACCACUCAUCCAUGUGUCUAUCCAUCCAUUCAUACAUCCGCCCAUCCAUCCAUCCUACCUACCAUCCAUUCAUCCAGCCAGCCAACCAGCUGGUCAGCCAGUGUAUCCUGCUCUGGGUCUGACACUGUGCUCAGUUGCAGGGAUAAUAGUAAGACAGACAGAUGUGGUUACUGCUCUAGUGGAUCUUACAUCCCAGUAUCUGAGGUAUAUGAUUAAACUAACAGUUGCUUUACAAAUAUGCUUUACAUUUAUCCCCACUACCCCUACUUGCCAACUGUUCAUCCAUAUAUGUCUACCAAAUGAUACGAACAUACACAUAAACUGACCUCCUUCUUCUCAUCUGUAACAUUUCUCUGACUUCAUAAUUCAAACAAACAAAUGACAACAACAGCAAAUCACCUGAGUUUGCCAAGACUCACAGUAGUGUCCUAAUAUCAAUUAGAAAACAUAAUGCUCUGGGUGAUUCCAGAAUGUGUAUAGAAUUGGCAUGCCUGGGGAGAGAAGAGCCAGGAGACAAUGUAAACUCAGUCUCCUCAUCACAAUUUAAAGUUCAGCACAAUAUAGAGAAGAGAACAGGGGCUCUUGAGUAGAACACUCCUGGGUUUGAACUGAGGCUAUACCACUUACUGGCUGGGUGACCUUGGGCAAGCUGCUACUCUUUCUGAGAUUCAGUUGAAAGAGGAGAUUAUAAAGCUACCUCACUGGGUAGUUGUGCAGAUGGGACAAAAUAACAGGUGAAAUGUCCUCAUGUAGGAUAUGGUCUCUGCCCACUCCACUCUUCAAUAAGUCUUUUGUCUCCCUAUCUUAGGGACUGAAUGCCUUACCUCCUCACUCACACCUUUAGCUCUUCAGUAAUUGUACACCUUGUCGGCAACAUCAUUCUUCACUCCUCCCCUCGGUAUACAUUCGGGGAAGAACACACUCUUUAUGUUUCUAUGGAAACACCACAGGGUUCCAUUAUAAUCAUUAGGGCUCCCCACCCCGCUCCUGCAACUGUCCCCACUGGUCUUGACAAUUUAAAGGGGAUUGAAAGUGACUCUCUUUUUCAAGGCCAGGGAAAUAGCAUAGUGUAGGGAAGCAUGUAUGCUUUGGAAAGAAAUUGAUUAAUGUGUUUUCAGCCAAAGCAAUUUAUUAACAUAAAGGAAAAUUGUCACUUUUCUUCUUAUCCAUCCAUUUGACAAACUACUGUUUAGUUUGGAGGGGAGGAGAGGGAGUAUAUUUUGUUUUGGUAGCAGCUGCCUUAUAAAUAGGCAGGGGCAGUGCCCUCUCUCAUCUGUUUUCAUUUUGAGGCUGAGUAGAGAAGAGGAGAUACCCCUUAACUUCCUACUUAUCCAAUCCACACCAAGUUGGCAACCUCUUGAAAAGGGAAAUAAGCUGCCUACUUGGUAAGAAUUCAAGUAAAGUCUUAUCAGAGGGUUCUUUGUAGGUUGGUAUUGACAUAGAACACCAGUAACUUCUCCAGCCUCACCUCUGCUUCUUUUCUUCCUCUUAAUUUCCCUACCCUGCCACUCUUAUCAUCUUCUGCCAUUCAUAUUCCAUAUGGAGGAGAGAAAUGUUGAGUGCCUAGCUUGUGUAGAGCUCUGGCUCACAGUUUGGGCCAAACAGUGGUCAAGAAAUUGUUGCAGUAUGGGAUUCAGGCCUGGAGCCAUUGAGAUAGUCCAGAGUAUUCAAGGUCUGUGAGGUUAGUCCUUUGAAGAUGUGUGGAAUACCUAACAUCUGGUUCAGGGGUGGAGGCACUGAGGAGUUCACUGGGGAGCCUUAAAGCCCUUCCUACCCAAGAUGACUGUGCAUGGCACCACAUUGGAUUUAGAAAGUGAGCUGUGUGUAAAGUAGAAAUGGAAGAGAGCUUUCAGGUUUUCCUCUUGAGGGCACCUCACUAAUCUAACUGACAGAUCAAUGCUUCAGCUAUCAUGCUAGGUGAAAAGUAGAAGGAUGUUUUUCUAGGUAAUUGGAAGCAGCGAGAAGCCUAAGUCAUGGCUUGUCUAGAAGAAGAAAUAGUGAGAAGCAAAAAGAGGAUAAAUACAUAAAUAUAUAAGCAAACAAUAGAGCUGGUUUCUGGAUGUAGUAUCUUGGCUAGGCAAACUAAAGUUGGGUGAGCCAAAAGGAGAUAAAAGUUUAUAUAGAAACAAACAGUGGAAACCUCUUACUUUUAUAUAGCACUUUCAAACCGCAAACAUUUCAAAUCUGUGUUUUUAUUUUACCCUUACAAUAGCCCAGAAAUAUGGGAAGAUUGUUGUCCCCAUUUAACUGACAAAAGGGGUUGGCAAAGGGAAGUCAUACCAUGAAUUAUGAUCAGAAUAUAAGCCUGGUCUCCUGAUUCCUAGUCCUUUGUUUUUCCUAAAGAGGGGUCAAAUGUUUUAGCCUGGGGCUUGUCUAUUACUGGGGGUCUUAUUCUAAGAAGAAGAAAGAAUGAGAGGACCUGUACCGCAUUAGGUGAGGACAUGUAGUAUUUAAGUGAAUAAUAAACAAUAAUGAGAAGUAGGAAGGCAGGGAGGAGGAGGAAGUGGAGGGAGAGGAAGGGGGUAGAAAGAGAAGAACUGGUAGUAAUCCGUAUUGUUGAUACUAUACUACAAGUUCAGUAAUUCUUACAUGUCUCAUGUAUUUCUCAAUUAACUUCAUUUUACAAACAAGGAAACUGAGCCAAGGAGAGGUUAAAUAUUCUGCCAAGAGCAUGCACUGGUCAGUGAUAGAGCCAGGAUUUGAGCCUCCUUUGUCUAGCUCCAAAGCUUGUAUUCUAAGAUAUAUUGCACUGAAAGAACAUAAUAGUCUCUAUCUGUGUGAGAUUCUAGUUGCCCAAUAUGUAUGGGGUAGGGGUGGUGAGGUGUGGUGACCAAGGCCUGGUGCACCUUAAUGACCUCACUGCCCCCUGUGACACCAGACCUAACCUGGGGCUGGGCUGCAUGAAGGGCACUUUAUGACCCAGUUGACCAAUACACCUUGUAAUAGUGUUUCUCCUUCUUCUUCUUCUUCUUCUUCUACUACUACUACUACUACUACUACUACUACUUUUUUAAUUUGAGAGAGAAAGAGAGGGAGAGAGAGAGUACAAGUGGGGGAGAGGGGAAGAGGGAGAGAGGAAAAGAGAGAAUCUUAAGCAGGCUCCCCUUCUAGUGUAGAGCCUGACACAGGGCUCAGUCCCACAACCCUGGGAUCAUGACCUGAGCUGAAGUCAAGAGUUGGAUGCUAAACUGACUGAGCCACCCAGGUGCCUCUGUAAUAAUGUUUCUAGAUUGCAGAGCAGUUCUGACUGUGACACUGCAUUCCCAGAGAAGAUGGGAACCCCCUUAGGAGGCAGCUUACUCAAGGCAAUAUAGGGGCUCUGCAAUCUUGGGUCUACUGUAGGCUGCUGAGGUCUGCGGUAGGCUUUGUGCACUUCCUUCUUAGGUGAGUCUUGCUCUUUUAUAAAGAGAAAAGAUGAUAAGCCACUUCCAUAAACCAUACACUCCAGGCAAGUUGGCUGAGAAAUUAAUGAUCCACAGCAUCUUCCUGAAGAUAAAAUAUCUUCCAAACCCCUCUCCAUCUCUUCAUCAUCUCUGUGCAUCAGAGAGCUUCUGUGGCCCUUCUUGCCAUGGAACCCAAGUGAACCACAGAUUUAUUGACUUCCUGUCACUUUCUUUUUUAAAGAAUUAGCUGUAAGAAUCAAUGGAAUCAGUGAGGAUAGUUUGGUUCCUAUCUACUUGGAUAAGCCAUGCUGCUUUGGAAAGUGUCUCUGGGGAAGAAUUGCAGUCUGGGAAAGUAGGGGCUUUAGUUUGUUUUCUCCCUCCCAAUACCCUCCCCACCCCAGCAUAGAAGGGAUUUUGUUCCUAUAACUUUCUUCUAACGACUAGUUUUCUCAUUAUUUAUAGGGUGUAAUUUCAAGCUUCACAACUUGCAUCCAUGUUAAGUUGGCAAGUGCACCUCUUCUCCUAGGGCAUCUGUCUGCUGACAAAUCCUCAGAGAAUCGCAGUUGCUCUCCUUGGUACAUAGAUAAGCAGAACCAAGCUGUAGAAGUCUUCACUGCUGAUCACUGUCUAUGAAAGAGAUCUGUGCUCUGUGUUCUGUGGCUCUGUGUCAAGAAGGCCUUCAGGUUAGGCCUUCAGAAAGGGCAGGCCAUGUCAGAGAACUUUAACAUAUAUUCACUGAUUAUGCAAGGUCAAAAGGUAAGAGGGGCAGGAAAAUCUCCUGAAUGCAGGAUUGGUUUGAGCUCUGGCUCCACUGAAUCUUGGACAAGUCUUCAUGCAGCCCCUCUGAGUCUUAGUGUCCUCAUCUGCCGAGUGACAAUAUCCAUACCCACAUUUUAGGGUUGUUUGUUGGGAGUCUGAAGUGAGAUGAUACAUGUCCAGUGUUUAGCAAAGCGCCUGGCACCAUGCCUGGUUCAACAAAUGGUAAUGAUUGUUACAUUAACUUGACAGAGAAAUAAAGAUUGGGUCAUUCUGUGGUCAACCGUGGCCUCCGUGCCAGCAGCCAUCCAUUUGUUAUUCCUGUGAAAUUCUCAACUUGAUUGAUUUUAUAUUUAUGGCAUGUUUCAGCCUCUUUAGCUAUUAAUGCAUUAAAAUAGGGUUUAAUUUUUAUUUCAGAUAAAUUGCCAAUGCAAUAAAUCAUACUUUCUCCUUGCAUUCUACAGAGAAGAAAGGGAUAAAGCUACUGAGAGAAACAGAGGCUAGGGGCAAAUGUCUUGGGGAUCAACCUGUCAGGGCUCAGAGAAAUUUCCACCUGUACCCCAAACUCUAUAUCUGUUUCCUAAAGAGAUAGCUUGAACCAUGUUUGGGGCAGUUGUUUGGGGGAUACUGGAUGAUAUUGCUGUAAUGUUCCCAUUCCAUUGUUUGCAAUAAAUGCUGCUCAGUCUGGACUGAAAUGUGGUGAGGGCUGCAAGUGCAUCUGUGGUUACCAGAAAGAACAGAUAUGCUGUGUAAUUUAUAAUUAUUUUUCAUUGUGGACUUCAUUGCUGGCCAGAGGGAGGACUGUGGCUGGAAGGCAGAGAAAGCUCUCACAGUUCACCCAGCUCCACACUGGGAGAGCAUCAGAGGCAGACAAAAGGAAAAAUACUAAAUAAUUUAAGUGGAAAGUCGGUUACUAAACCCACAGGCCUGGGUGCAUAUCACAUUUCUAAUAAACUAAGGCCUUUUUCUCUGGUCAGGCAAUAGCUUUAAGUGGCAGGCCAAGACCCUGUGGCCAGAAAGCAUCACCUCAGAUGGAAACGCAAGGAAGACGCUCAGGGCUGCUGACCCCUAGUUGGCUCACGUAGUUCUCCAGAGCCUCUUUCCUUGGUAAGGUGCAGGCCUGGCCUGGCUUCUCCUGCAGGGCACACAGCUGUAAGACUUUGGCCUGCGUUCCAGAGAGGCACCUUCUAAUGAGCUCUGAAUAUCAAAACUGUAAGGGAGAGACACCGGGAAUGAGGAAGCUGGUUGCCGGGUACACAGAGAGGCGCUUGCUGUAAAUCUCUCUUUGCAUAUCCUUAACAUCUCUGUCUGGUCCAGAAGGAGUUAUAACAGUGGAGGAAUCAAUAAUGGUGAAAAUGCAGCCUGUGGUCUGUGGAGCUUGAGGAAAUGGUGGUGGAGGCUUCUGGCAUUCAGUGUCAUGCAUAUUACCUGGCUCACGAGCAUGGGGUGACUAUAGCCCUCUCCUGAACAGGGGGUGGUGGUGCUGGGCAGCACUUUGCAUACCCACCCCACCUAGUGUUUGUGACUGCUCCUCCAGGACUCACCAGAGGAUAGUUCCUAGCAUUUGCGCUCUUGGCUUGGCAGCAGAAUUGGGCUUUAAUUGGUCUUAACCUUAAUUGGAAGAGGAAUGUGGGCAAGGAUUGCCAUUUCAUUUCUGAUCUCAGAUGAGGUCCGAGGAGCUGGGAGAUGUAGCAGGAAGGAGUGACUACAAAUGAAUACCCUAAGUAAUGCAUAAGGCAAGCCUGGACCUCAAAAUGGACUGACAGAGACUCAUUUUCCCUUUUCAUUGGAAACAGGAGGCCUCAAAAGUUCCACUUACUCUGUGAGCAAGCCCCCUGACCUUCUCUUCCUUUCCCAUUGUGUCCACCCUCACCUGCACCCCCUAUUUAGGUCUGUGUAUGACCACCUAAACCUGUAAUUAGAAGGGAAAGUCAUCUUUCUAAUGAUGUAUUUAAGACAAAAACUACUUACUCGGCUAUUUUAUUAGCAAGAAUUUUCUAUUCAUAGACAUGUAAGCUGUUUGUCACAAAAGUGCCUAGUAAAUCAACUGCCACCCCCUCUUUUCAAGACCCUGAUUGAAUGUCUCUGAAGCUAUAAUGGAUCCGACCUUCCCAGGAAGCUUGCUGUAACCAGACUCCCAUCCUCCACCCCACCCCUCUUCUCCAGCAGGUUGGGGGUGAAGGCCAGCGACCAGUAUUCACAUAUACCCAGGAGACUGCCAUAUAGGUAGUCCACGAUCACCCUUUGAGAACACUAUUGAAGGCCUGCAUCUUCAACUCAAGCCCUCACGAUGCCCUUGGCUGAGGAGAACUUAGUCAUGUAAUGCUCUGCUGACACUCCUCAAAUAGGUCUGACUCUGAAGGUAGCAUGCUGUGGAAUCUAGCCAGCAGGUCCUAGAACAGCAUCCCAAUCUUGUCAUUACUAGCUUCAGAGUAAAUGUGAGAGUGCCUCACUCACCUGUUCCCACUUGUAUAAUCUGAGUACUGUGCAAGUACCUGAACUUCAGUUACUUCAUCUACAAAAUGGGAGUGUUUUUAUCUGUCUCACAUGGUUGUGAGGAUUACAGGUGAGAACAAAAGGUAUUUAUAAUGACAAGUAAUAAUAGAAACUUCUUAUUUCUUUCCCCUGAUUUUCUUUCCAACAGAUCCCUGCCCUCAGCUAGCUGUCAUAGUUGUAAAAAUCAUCCAAAAAAAAAAAAAAGUCAAAUAAACUGACUUCCAUUAGAUGUGAGUAGUUUGUUAAUCAUAAGGGUUUAAUCUGGUUGUAUUAUUAUUGCUGCUGAAACAAAUCACCACACAUGUGUGGUGACAAACAACACCAGUGGUACUCUCAGAGUUCUGGAGAUCAGAAGUCCCCAGAACUCUAAGUCAUGGUGUCAGCAAAUGUCUGUUCCUUCUGGAGGCUCUGUGAGAAGUUCUGUCCCUUGCUUUUUCCACCUUUCAGAGGCUGUCCACAUUCUUUGCUUGUGAUACCUCUCUUCACCUUCUGCUUCCAUUGCGUAUCUCCUCUGACUCUGUAUCCCGUUUCUCUCUUCCCUUUAUAGAGAUCCUUAUGAUUAAAUUGGGCCCACCUGGAUGAUCCAGGACACUCAUCCCAUCCCAGGAUCCUUAAUCACAUCGCAAAGUUCAUUUUGCCAUGUGAGGUAAUAUAUUGACAGUGCCCAGGAAUUAGAAUGUGAAUAUCUUGUGGGGCCAUUAUUCUGCUCACCACAUUGGGUUUUGAUAUUUUACCAAGAAAGACCACAGAUCUCUAAUGUCUUAAUCUCCUCUUCCAAAGACAUCAUUGGGGGCAGAUCAGAUACCAGAGAAGGGAGAUACUGGAGCAUGGAGGGAGUUUGUGGUUUGCCACAAAUCAAACUUUGCCUUUUUUACCACAGCCAGUACAGAAGUGUACUGGGCAGUAAUAUUGGAUGGCCAUGAUGAACGAGGAUCUCAAUGUCCUGUGAAAUUGCAACAAGCUCUCUGAGUCAUCAAAAGAAGAUUUGAUUAGGUUCCAUCUUGUUGAGAGUAUGUAGCACUCCAGGUAUUUGAAAAUUGACAAUCUCUGUAUUACAUUCAGUUGUAUGAUUCAGUUCAAAAUUAUCUACUGAGGACCUGCUGCAUAGAAGCCUUCCUUCCCUAAUAAGAACAUUUCAUUAAUUAACUAAGGGUGGGGCACACACAAAUGGUAAUAAUGGCUUUACUUUUGGACAAUCUAAAUAACUGUCUCAAUCCCACCACUGCUUUUUAUCUUUGCCCCAGUCAAUAUAGUGUUCCCUUUUUUGACAAGUAUCUACUGAGUGACAACUAUGAAUUAGACACUGUCCCACAACUUUGAGAUAGUAGCCAUUUACUGAAGGAAAGAAACUCAUCAACACUACAUUACAAUGCAAUAGGAUAAAUGGUAUAGCAGAGGGACAUGCAUGUCAUGGGGAUCCUCCAUAGGAAGGAAUGUAAGGUUAUCCAGAGGAACAACAUGAGGAAAUUCCCAGACAAAGCAGGGUGGAAAAGACAUUCCAGGAAAUGAGGGGACUUAUGCAAAAGUACCAACAUGUGAUAGAACACACAGUAUUUGAAGCUAGCCCAGUUCCUUGUGACUGGGGAGAAAUAGGAGACCCAGCAGGUGAGAAGGUUAGUAUCACAUUCAAAGGGCCUUGAAAAAUUAGCUAAAUGCAACAGCAGGAACCACGGCAAGAUUGUUUAGCAGGGGAGUGACAUGUUAAGAUUUUACUUUUUAGGUAAUUUAGCAAUCUAUGUGGAGGAUUACUUGGGAUGGGGCAAAAGAGACUGAUGGCAACAAGAUGAGGUGGCAUUCAAGUGACAGGUGAUAAGGGCCUUGACCAGAGACAGAGAGGGGCUGAAGCUAAAGGGGAUGGAUUUAGCAAGUAGAAUUGGUAGCCUAUUUGAUAUGUGUUGUGAGGGAGAAGAGUGAGGCAGUGGGGACUAUAGUUUAUGGAGCCAUGGUCAAUGGUGUUGAACAAACUAAAAAACAGGAAGAGAAUUAAUUUUGUACGAGAAAAUAAGGAGUGUGUUUUGAUAAAUGGUGAAUCUGAGGUGGUUUUGAGAUAUGAAUAUGGAAAUAUUCAUAGAGAGAGAGAGAGAGAGAGAGAGAGAGAGAGAGAGAGAGAGAAGGGGAAAGAGCAAGCUCAUGGAAAGGUAGGGAAGGGUAGUGUCACAGAAAUAAACUUCGGACCCAUGAGCAUAGUGAAAGCCAUGAAAAGAGGCUAAGGAUGAGCAGAGGAGGCAGGAGACAGCCGUCCAGGUCAACUUUCUCGCAAACUGCAGAUUUUCUGCUGCUCUCUGCUCUCUAGCACCUUUCAAACCCUACGUAGCCAACCUCAUUCCUUCAGCCGUUUCAAAUGGUAAAUGUGUAGCCUGAACUUUGCUUCCAUUUCCUAAGCAACACACUUAGAUGGGAGGAGAAUUUUUUUUUCUGAGAAAGACUUCCUAUUCUUUUCCUUAAAACAUUUGAGACAUUUUACAACUUAAACCAAGCAGCUAUUUUCCUGGGAUCUACGUACAGAAAAUAAAUGCAUGAUCGGUGUAGCCAAAGACUUCCGAAGAGGCUGUGUGAUUAUUUUUAGAGUGUCCGUGGCCGUGGAUGUGAAGAUGAAGUGCUAGAAAAGCAGAGAACAGGAAGAGGAAUAUGGCAUGGAGGGACCCCAGGCCCUUGAGAAAAGGGAAGGGAGCUUAUCCCUUAGGACAGCAUUUCCCAAACUUCAUCCUUUAUGUACCACCUCUAAGGUCUUUGUGAAACUCCCCACGCCAUCUGCACAAUUAUUUACUUGUUUUUUUUCCCUCUCUAAAUCAAUUCACUUUUAAACUUGAACAUUUAUACAAAACAAGUAAUAUCACUUUUGAAAAUGGAGACCUGUAUCACUUGCAAUGGAUAUAUAGGGGGGACUAGUUUUCAAAGUUAAAAACUUAAGUAAAACAUGUAAAAUGA